UUAUGAGAAAAUGUGGGGAAAUGGAAGGAGUCUGAAUACUUUCCGAAUGCACUGUGCAUCUGACAUUACAUACGGUAGGUACAUAAUGACACGUCAAACUGUGCAAGGCUGUGUGUAAAGUGUAAUAUACUAUAAUGUCUGUCAGACCUGAGGACCUGUCGUGGUAAUAGUAGACGUUAGAAGAAGAUAAGAAUGUUCUUUGUGUUGAUCCAGAGGUGUGUCACAGUCUCUCCAUCUCUUUCAGAACAGAGGCACAUGAAGGGGAACAGUGUCAGAGGCCAGCCAGGGGAUUUUGCACCCCCACAUAACAGCUAACAGUCUGAUAGUAAACCUCUGUUUACGAGACGGGAGCUCCUGCCUCUAUGUGGCGGUGUGCCCGUGCAAUGUGAAAGGAAACUGCAGGACCGCCGUUAAGCAGCAGCAAAGGCAUGCCAACUGUCCAGUCCACCGUCAGCAUCCUACUGGGAACCCUGGGGGUCAUAGGAAUCAUUCUAAUCGUUGUGUUUGUGAGGCUGUCCUACCAGAACCCCAAACCGCCGUGCAAAACCAACCAGGAGAGAGAGCCCCUGAGGAUCUCACUGUGAGGGUACUACCUGCAUAUGUCUCUGACUUUGCCCUUAGUAGAGCAAUGAUAUAGUGAGAAUGUUUAUUCAGUAAUGUGCAUAGUAUUUACCUAGUGGGUAGUUCUUGGAUUGUGGUGGUAUUUAGGCAGUGCAUCUGGGGAAAAAAAUCUACUUAAUUUUUCUAGAUUAUUUUUAUUUAUUUACAGUAAAUGUAUUUGGGUACAUCUUCUCAGUCUAAAUCAACUAAUGGCAGCUUAAUGACUUAUAAUAAUAAUUUUAAUAAUCUUAAUAAUUUUCACAAUUAUGAUAACAUUAUACCACCAGUAGGAGUAGUAACACCAAUGACGAUAACACCAAUGAUACAUUUUAGGCAAAUGAGGAUUUUCUGAAAUGGAGGCCACAUAUACUAAAAUCUAAGGUCAUUAACCCUUUAAAAAUCCCUUACUAAAGAGAUAUGAUUAAUAAUUCUGCUCCCAAUGUAAUUUCCCUUCAUUUACAUAGAGUAACACCAAGUGACACUUUAGAUUUAUACACACCAAAUUAUCAAUGAAAUCCUCAAAUGUAUGAUAUACUAAAAGGGUAUGAUUAGCUUGUAAUUGUAUUUAAAAUAGACCACUCCCCCGUUAACAGUUUGCCACUGGAGGGAAUCCGCUUGCGCGUUGUGGACCACACCUUCCAAGUCGUUUAUUAUUUUGCAUAGAACGCAUGCCUAUCGUUAAUCAU